ensembl:rRNA 5S_rRNA 5S ribosomal RNA
GGUUAUGGCCAUACCAGCCUGAUGCACCUGAUCUUGUCUGAUCUUGGAAGCUAAGCAGGGUUGGGCCUGGUCAGCACUUGGAUGGGAAACUGCCUAGUAUUAAUUUUUACAAAACUAUAAAAGCAUGGAGUAUAAUUU